GAUUUGGCGGACGGGUGAGUAACACGUGAGCAACCUGCCCCGAUCUCUGGGAUAAGCGCUGGAAACGGUGUCUAAUACCGGAUAUGAGCUUCCAUCGCAUGGUGGGGGUUGGAAAGAUUUUUCGGUUCGGGAUGGGCUCGCGGCCUAUCAGCUUGUUGGUGAGGUAAUGGCUCACCAAGGCGUCGACGGGUAGCCGGCCUGAGAGGGUGACCGGCCACACUGGGACUGAGACACGGCCCAGACUCCUACGGGAGGCAGCAGUGGGGAAUAUUGCACAAUGGGCGCAAGCUUGAUGCAGCAACGCCGCGUGAGGGAUGACGGCCUUCGGGUUGUAAACCCCUUUUAGCAGGGAAGAAGCGAUAGUGACGGUACCUGCAGAAAAAGCGCCGGCUAACUACGUGCCAGCAGCCGCGGUAAUAAU
rnacentral:rRNA from 1 species